rnacentral:rRNA from 1 species
UACGUAGGGUGCGAGCGUUGUCCGGAAUUACUGGGCGUAAAGCGUGCGCAGGCGGUUUUGUAAGCCAGAUGUGAAAGCCCCGGGCUUAACCUGGGAAUGGCAUUUGGGACUGCAAGGCUUGAGUGCGGCAGAGGAGACUGGAAUUCCUGGUGUAGCAGUGAAAUGCGUAGAUAUCAGGAGGAAUACCGAUGGCGAAGGCAGGUCUCUGGGCUGACACUGACGCUCAUGCACGAAAGCGUGGGGAGCAAACAGG